ensembl:rRNA 5S_rRNA 5S ribosomal RNA
GUCUACGGCCAUACCACCCUGGACGCGCCUGAUCUCGUCUGGUCUCGGAAACUAAGCAGGGUCGGGGCUGGUUAGUACUUAGAUGGGAGAAAAACUUGAACUUUUAAGAUA